CAUAGGUUAAUGAGGCGAACCGGGGGAACUGAAACAUCUAAGUACCCCGAGGAAAAGAAAUCAACCGAGAUUCCCCCAGUAGCGGCGAGCGAACGGGGAGCAGCCCAGAGCCUGAAUCAGUGUGUGUGUUAGUGGAAGCGUCUGGAAAGGCGCGCGAUACAGGGUGACAGCCCCGUACACAAAAAUGCACAUACUGUGAGCUCGAUGAGUAGGGCGGGACACGUGGUAUCCUGUCUGAAUAUGGGGGGACCAUCCUCCAAGGCUAAAUACUCCUGACUGACCGAUAGUGAACCAGUACCGUGAGGGAAAGGCGAAAAGAACCCCGGCGAGGGGAGUGAAAAAGAACCUGAAACCGUGUACGUACAAGCAGUGGGAGCACAGAGCAAUCUGUGUGACUGCGUACCUUUUGUAUAAUGGGUCAGCGACUUAUAUUCUGUAGCAAGGUUAACCGAAUAGGGGAGCCGAAGGGAAACCGAGUCUUAACUGGGCGUUAAGUUGCAGGGUAUAGACCCGAAACCCGGUGAUCUAGCCAUGGGCAGGUUGAAGGUUGGGUAACACUAACUGGAGGACCGAACCGACUAAUGUUGAAAAAUUAGCGGAUGACUUGUGGCUGGGGGUGAAAGGCCAAUCAAACCGGGAGAUAGCUGGUUCUCCCCGAAAGCUAUUUAGGUAGCGCCUCGUGAAUUCAUCUCCGGGGGUAGAGCACUGUUUCGGCAAGGGGGUCAUCCCGACUUACCAACCCGAUGCAAACUGCGAAUACCGGAGAAUGUUAUCACGGGAGACACACGGCGGGUGCUAACGUCCGUCGUGAAGAGGGAAACAACCCAGACCGCCAGCUAAGGUCCCAAAGUCAUGGUUAAGUGGGAAACGAUGUGGGAAGGCCCAGACA
rnacentral:rRNA from 1 species